UACGGAGGGUGCAAGCGUUAUCCGGAUUCACUGGGUUUAAAGGGUGCGUAGGCGGCUAUAUAAGUCAGUGGUGAAAGCCCGCAGCUCAACUGCGGAACUGCCAUUGAAACUGCAUAGCUUGAAUCUGGUUGAAGUGGGCGGAAUACAUCAUGUAGCGGUGAAAUGCUUAGAUAUGAUGUAGAACACCGAUUGCGAAGGCAGCUCACUAGGCCAACAUUGACGCUGAGGCACGAAAGCGUGGGUAGCGAACAGG
rnacentral:rRNA from 1 species